rnacentral:tRNA from 2 species
GCCCGGAUGGCGGAAUCGGUAGACGCAGGGGACUUAAAAUCCCCCGGCCUCGCGGCCAAGUGUGGGUUCGAGUCCCACUCCGGGCACCA